rnacentral:rRNA from 1 species
CCUACGGGGGGCUGCAGUGGGGAAUAUUGCACAAUGGGCGCAAGCCUGAUGCAGCCAUGCCGCGUGUGUGAAGAAGGCCUUCGGGUUGUAAAGCACUUUCAGCGGGGAGGAAGGCGGUGAGGUUAAUAACCUCAUCGAUUGACGUUACCCGCAGAAGAAGCACCGGCUAACUCCGUGCCAGCAGCCGCGGUAAUACGGAGGGUGCAAGCGUUAAUCGGAAUUACUGGGCGUAAAGCGCACGCAGGCGGUCCGUCAAGUCGGAUGUGAAAUCCCCGGGCUCAACCUGGGAACUGCAUUCGAAACUGGCAGGCUAGAGUCUUGUAGAGGGGGGUAGGAUUCCAGGUGUAGCGGUGAAAUGCGUAGAGAUCUGGAGGAAUACCGGUGGCGAAGGCGGCCCCCUGGACAAAGACUGACGCUCAGGUGCGAAAGCGUGGGGAGCAAACAGGAUUAGAUACCCGAGUAGUC